AUUGAACGCUGGCGGCAGGCCUAACACAUGCCAGUCGAGCAAGCGGCGGACGGGUGAGUAAUGUAUGGGGACUGCCCGAUAGAGGGGGAUAACUACUGGACACUGUGGCUACUACCGCAUACUAUCGGAUAACCCAUAUGGGAUUAGCUAGUAGGUGGGGUAAAGGCUCACGUAGGCGACGAUCAGUAGUUGGUCUGAGAGGAUGAUCAGCCACACUGGGACUGAGACACGGCCCAGACUCCUCCGGAGGCAGCAGUGGGGAAUAUUGCACAAUGGGCGAAAGACUGAUGCAGCCAUGCCGGGUGUAUGAAGAAGGUCGUAUGGUUGUAAAGUACUUUCAGCGGGGAGGCGUUAACCGCAGAAGAAGCACCGGCUAACUCCGUGCCGGCCACCGCGGUAAUAC
rnacentral:rRNA from 1 species